rnacentral:rRNA from 1 species
CCUAGGGGAGGCAGCAGUAGGGAAUCUUCGGCAAUGGACGAAAGUCUGACCGAGCAACGCCGCGUGAGUGAAGAAGGUUUUCGGAUCGUAAAACUCUGUUGGUAGAGAAGAACGUUGGUGAGAGUGGAAAGCUCAUCAAGUGACGGUAACUACCCAGAAAGGGACGGCUAACUACGUGCCAGCAGCCGCGGUAA